UAAAACGUGGGAGGCAAACGUUAUCCGGAUUUACUGGGCGUAAAGGGAGUGUAGGCGGUUCCUUAAGUCAGAUGUGAAAUUCCUUGACUCAAUCAAGAAAAGUCAUCUGAAACUGAGGGACUUGAGGGCGGCAGAAGGAAACGGAAUUCCCGGUGUAGCGGUGAAAUGCGUUGAUACCGGGAAGAACACCAGUGGCGAAGGCGGUUUCCUAGGCUGUUUCUGACGCUGAGACUCGAAAGCGUGGGGAGCGAAGCGGAUUAGAUACCCGCGUAGUCCACGCCCUAAACGAUGGGUACUAGGCGCUGGGGGGAGCGACCCCUUCGGUGCCGACGCUAACGCAAUAAGUACCCCGCCUGGGGAGUACGGCCGCAAGGCUG
rnacentral:rRNA from 1 species